rnacentral:rRNA from 1 species
UUUUCUCCUGGAAACGGGUGGUAAUGCCGGAUGCUCCAGUUGAUCGCAUGGUCUUCUGGGAAAGCUUUCGCGGUAUGGGAUGGGGUCGCGUCCUAUCAGCUUGACGGCGGGGUAACGGCCCACCGUGGCUUCGACGGGUAGCCGGCCUGAGAGGGCGACCGGCCACAUUGGGACUGAGAUACGGCCCAGACUCCUACGGGAGGCAGCAGUGGGGAAUAUUGCACAAUGGGCGCAAGCCUGAUGCAGCGACGCCGCGUGAGGGAUGGAGGCCUUCGGGUUGUAAACCUCUUUUAUCGGGGAGCAAGCGAGAGUGAGUUUACCCGUUGAAUAAGCACCGGCUAACUACGUGCCAGCAGCCGCGGUAAUACGUAGGGUGCAAGCGUUAUCCGGAAUUAUUGGGCGUAAAGGGCUCGUAGGCGGUUCGUCGCGUCCGGUGUGAAAGUCCAUCGCUUAACGGUGGAUCCGCGCCGGGUACGGGCGGGCUUGAGUGCGGUAGGGGAGACUGGAAUUCCCGGUGUAACGGUGGAAUGUGUAGAUAUCGGAAAGAACACCAAA